GAGUAUCUGUGUGAGUACAGGUAAAUAUGUAUAUGAGAGUGUGUUAGCUGAGAGAGUUGCUUUUAAAGGUUUUGCAGUAUGUUUUCUUGUUGUUUUUUUAGUUACCAAGACCAUUGAAAACGUUUCGUAAGUUUCAAGACGAAAGAAAAGAAAGCGAUUUAGUUCUUCAACGACUGCUGAACGAGUUGGUGGUGGUUAUAUUAAAAACGUUUUAAGAUUGAAAAGAAUUAAAAAAAGUUUACAGGUUUAACAACAAAAAUUGAAAAAAAAGAAAAAAAUAUAUUAUGCAAAAAAGUUAGCAACAAGGCUUAGAUAGAAACAACAAAAUAAAAGCCAUUUAAAACAAGUUUCCUUUUAAAGCCAA